UUUUUUCGCAACUCAUUCAUUGACAGCCGUUGGAUCGUUCGGGACAAUUAAUAAAUCACCCCCCCUUCUCAAUCUAUGUACAUUUUCAUUAUCUUGUACAGUUUCUUUCUCACCGUGAAAUUCCAUUACCCCGUUUUCGUUAGAUCUCUUCUCCUUGAUUUCUUAGCUUUGAAUUCGUUCGACGAUCUGCUUUUUGAUUAUGGAUUCGAGUGUUUUCGUUGAGCGAUUCGCUUCCGAUCUUCGAUUCAGAGAUAUGUGGUUCAAGACUCAUCCUUUCUUCGGCCAUGGGUGUUUUCGUUGAGCGAUUCGCUUCCGAUCUUCGAUUCAGAGAUAUGGAUUCGAGUGUUUUCGUUGCACGUAAUUAAGUAUUCUCCUCCAUUUCUUGAAGGUUCUUAAUGUUUGUUCUGAACCAUUAGUGCUCGGGCUUUGUUCGUCUGGUUCGAUGCGAAUCCUUGCUGUCUUUCUGAAAUUCUUGAGGUCUAAAACGCUUGGUUAGAUCGGUGCAAUCAAUUCAGAUCUCGUGAUUCUUUAUGGAUUCAGAUCGGAUUUUGAUAUGAAGCUGUGAAGGAUUGCUAAAGUGUUUCUUUAUGCUUUUUUUGAUGUGCUUUCUUUUGUCAUCUUCUUGGUAUAAUAAAGAAGAUAGUUUGUGUGUGUGUGUCUUCGGUGUAUACCAGAGAGGUAUAGCCUAGGGUAACAAAAAAAAUGUGAGAUGUGUAAUGUUCUACUGGUUGUCAAUCGACCUUUGCCAUGUCAGGUGCGCUUGCUUGGCAGAAAAAAAAAACCCUAAUAAAAAGUUUGUUUUUGUGUUUGAGGGGGAGAUGGUACGGGGUUUUGCCCGGCUCUCCCCUUCUUGUGUGUUGCGUCUUUUUUUUCUUGAUUUUGUCCUCCCCAAUUCUCUCUCCAAUCCAAUCAGUUGUUCAUCGUGUCUUUAUUUGUCUCUCGAAUGGAUGAUUUUACAUCGAUUCGAAACAAAUAGGGACAUCAACGCGCCAACUAUUUGUAUUCAUCAAGCAAGCAAACGCAAGGAUGGGAUUAGCACAUCAUGACUAUUCAGUCCAAGAGGUACAAACAAACAAUUUCCUUUAAUUUAUUUUGGCACUAAUUAUUGCAUGAGUUGUUAAUUAGGGGAAAUUAUGCAUCGAGUAAUGCUAGAGGCACCAAAUAAUUUAUCAACAAAAUGUUUUAUCGUUGACGUUGGCGUGUAGGGUAAAACUUUUGGUAGAUUAUUUUGACAGUUUCAGUAAAUUAUUACCGAUUUAUGAAAAGUUCAUAUUUUUAAGUAUUAAUAUUUAUGAAGUUCAGUUUUUAAAACCACCCCUGAAAUGAAAUUUCCCUAUUAAUUAAGCUUAUUGCAUAAAAUCAGCACUAAAUUCGAGCAUGUCUGAAUCUACCAUCUCACUUGGAAAGCUAAUCUUUAUUCUCAAAAUUUAAUCAAUAAGUUUGUUUCUGGUUACAAAAUUGUUGAUGGUUUACAUUUUUCAAUUAUAAAAUCCAAGUAAUAUCUAACAUAAGCCCAAAAUUGUAAGCCCAAAAUUGUUGAUUUGUUGAAGAGAAAAUUUUAUAAUACACCAUAUGCCCAAUCAUGAUUUUUUGGUCUUCUGGUUACCUCCUAUGUUAUAACUUGGUCAUGACUGGUGUUUAUGACCUGUUGUGAUUAGGAAAAUGAUAUAGAUGUCCAUUGGGUACCUAUUUUCUAGAUGCAAUGUGUGGAAGAGAUGAUUGGCAGUGAUUAGACACUGUGGUGGUUAUGAUUUACAAUGAUUAUUAUUUUGGUUUUUAUGUGGUGUUUGGCUGUGACAUUAUUUUUCUGAAGUUAUGGUUGAAAAGGAUUUAGUUAUGACAUUUAGGCCUUGUUGUCAUAAUUUUAAAAAGUUAAAAAGUCGAAAAAUUACUAUCUUAUUUAAGUCCUAUCAUUUUAUUUUAGUUACAUUACUUUUCUAUUAUAUUAUGUUAAAUUCAAUUCAUACAUAAUACAUAUUUAAUUUAUAUUUCAUAAAAAGUUAAAAAAUAUAUUUAUUUAGAUCAUUUUAAACAACUUUUUAUGAUAAUAUAAAAAUGUGUAUAUUGUAAGGGUCUGUAUUCUAGAAUGACCCCAUUGUAAGUACACUUAGCAUUGUAGAUGGUUCAAAUGUCAAAGAUUGUUGGUUCAGAUAGUGUAAUUGUGCACAUGAUGUAAUUCUAGAGAGGUUCAGUUGUACUGGGAUGAUGUGCAUGGGCUGGUUUAUAUUUGUGUUUUCGGUUACGGUUUGGGUUGGAAUGUGUGGUGGUUUGGAUGGUUGGUCCCUUAUGGGUAAUUGUAAUUUAGUAAAAAUGUCAAUUGUAAUUGUAAUUUAGUAAAAAUGUCAAUUGUAAACCAGUAUAAAGCUCAAGGGUUGGUGGUGGCUGCAUGUUGUGAUUUUAAAUCUCAGAUGUGGGUUGAUGGAUUUUGUUUUCAGUGUUGCGCAGAGUAAAGAUUCUUGAUUCUGCUGUGCUAGUUGGAGCGAGGUUGAAUUUUAUUUGAAGGAAUAAAUUCA